rnacentral:lncRNA from 1 species
ACUUUGUCCACAUGGUGCUUGUCCAUAGCCUGUAUCUAAUCAAGUUGUUGUGAGGGGGUGAAAUUAUUGCCUUACAAAUAUCAUCGGUCGAUAAUCAAGAGGUUGAUGGGAUGUCUGUCAUCAUCUCUUGAUAUUUGUAAGGUUUUAAUUCACAAUUGUAAUCCUAAUUUGCUGACCGAUUAUUAUGACCAUUUUAUUGAAGC